ACCUGGCUGGCUUAGUCAGUAGAGCAUGCAACUCUUGAUCUCAGGGUUGUGAGUUCAAGCCCCAUGUUGGGUG
rnacentral:tRNA from 1 species